CUGUGAUUCUAGGCCACUGAGCAGUUUCCAUGGAUGCAACCUUCUUUUCUUAUCUAGAAGGAUAAUAAUAAUCAGUACUGCACUCUGGGACCACGGGACCAGGUGUCCACCUACCAUGGAUCUGGGGGAACACACUCUGUGAAAGAAGCAGGUGUCCACAGCCCAAAUGCAGAAGAAGAGAUUGACGAGUUUUUAUUUAUUCAAAGGGACAUUUCCAGGUGCAUAAAGAAGCCACAAGUUAGUGUUGUUAAAAAAAAAAAUCAAA